GACGAACGCUGGCGGCGUGCCUAAUACAUGCAAGUCGAGCGAACAGACGAGGAGCUUGCUCCUCUGACGUUAGCGGUGGACGGGUGAGUAACACGUGGAUAACCUACCUAUAAGACUGGGAUAACUUCGGGAAACCGGAGCUAAUACCGGAUAACAUGUUGAACCGCAUGGUUCAACAGUGAAAGACGGUCUUGCUGUCACUUAUAGAUGGAUCCGCGCCGCAUUAGCUAGUUGGUAAGGUAACGGCUUACCAAGGCAACGAUGCGUAGCCGACCUGAGAGGGUGAUCGGCCACACUGGAACUGAGACACGGUCCAGACUCCUACGGGAGGCAGCAGUAGGGAAUCUUCCGCAAUGGGCGAAAGCCUGACGGAGCAACGCCGCGUGAGUGAAGAAGGUCUUCGGAUCGUAAAACUCUGUUAUUAGGGAAGAACAAAUGUGUAAGUAACUAUGCACGUCUUGACGGUACCUAAUCAGAAAGCCACGGCUACUACGUGCCAGCCGCCGCGGUAA
rnacentral:rRNA from 1 species